rnacentral:tRNA from 1 species
GCCGCUAUGGCUCAGUGGUAGCGCGCUUCAUUGGUAAUGAAGAGGUCUCAAGUUCGAUUCUUGAUAGCGGCACCG